GUAAAAAAACCAUCUAUAAAAUUAACAUUCAUAACUUCAUCUGUACUUGAAGUAGAAUAUUUUGCUAUCUAUUGGAUGAAUUCUCUAUCAUCCUCCCAAUUAUAUACUCUAGAGCCUAUGCAAUUGAGUGGAGUAGGUUUGACUAUCUUUGAUUGAAUCCACUCAUUUUUUUUCUAAAUUAGUAAAUCUUACUUUUUUUUUCAAUUCUUUUUUAGAUUGAUGAGUGUGAGUUUCAUCAUCAAAAUUUGUAGAAACUCUUUCUAAUGGUAAUCCUUGAAUUUGAAUAAAGAUCAUUGUAAGUUUUUUUGAGAGAUCAUAAAUAAUAUGGAAUUUUUUUCCACCUUAAUCAAUUUUUGCUUCAAUCACCUUCAAUCAAGGCCUAUUUAAUAGCAACAGGUAAGAAUCCUUAUUUGAAUGCAUAAGAAUAAUAUAAAAAUUAAAGAAAUAUUCUUCAUCACUUGUUAUCACCAUACAUCUAUUAAUUUGGUCUAAGACGGUAUCUUGACUUU
rnacentral:lncRNA from 1 species